UUCCGUCAACAAUCUUCAAUAUCUCAGCAUUACAAGUUGUCUUGCUAUAUGAAAACUCUCUUUCAGGAAACCUUCCAUCAAGUAUAGGCUUCUUCCUUCCAAAUCUUGCCGAGCUUCACCUUCGGGGAAAUGAACUUCAAGGAAUAAUUCCUAGCUCCAUCUCUAAUGCAUCAAAACUCACUCUCUUGGACUUGACAGAUAACUUCUUUACUGGCAGUAUUCCUAAUUCUAUUGGUAAUCUGAGAAAUCUCCAGAAACUUGAAUUAGCCCAGAAUAACUUAACCAGUGAAUCCUCCAUGGUGGAAUCAAAUUUUAUUUCUUCAUUGACACAAAACAGCCAUUUGAGAAGGAUUGUGCUAUCAGGCAAUCCUCUUGGUUCCAUCCUCCCCAUGUCCGUUGGUAAUCUCUCAGCUUUUCUUGAAUACUUUUUGGUGUCUGAUUGCAAACUUAAGGGCUUCAUUCCUGCUGAACUUGGCAAUUUAAGCAGCUUGAUAGCCUUAGAGCUGGGAAAAAAUGAACUGACUGGUAUUAUUCCAAAUACAAUUGGAAAACUACAAAAGCUGCAAGGUUUGCACCUUCAAAGCAAUAGAUUGCAAGGAACCAUCUUGUAUGAUCUUUGUCAAUUGAGCAGCUUGGUGGAAUUAUUCUUAGGUGGUAAUGAGCUUUCUGGAUCAAUACCAGAAUGCUUGGGUAAUCUUAAAGCUCUAAGAAAUAUCAGCUUAGGCUUUAACAGGUUAACUUCCAUGAUACCCUCAAGCUUGUGGAGCCUAAAUGAUAUCCUGGCCAUAGACUUGUCAUCAAAUUCUCUACAGGGGUCUCUUCCAUUAGAAAUUGAAAAUUUGAAGGUUGUGACUGAAAUUGAUUUGUCAAAUAAUCAGUUAUCAGGUUACAUUCCUAACAGCAUUGGGAAUCUCAAAAUGCUUGUGUAUCUUUCUUUAGCAGAAAAUAAAUUACAAGGCUCUAUUCCAGAAUCUUUUAGUGGUUCUAUAAGCUUAGAGUUCUUGGAUCUUUCUGUUAACAACCUCUCUGGAGUAAUUCCUAUGUCCUUGGUAAAGCUCCUUUAUCUUCAAUAUUUUAAUGUGUCUUCUAAUGAACUCCAAGGAGAAAUUCCCAGUGAAGGACCCUUUGCUAAUUUCUUAGCCCAAUCAUAUGUGAUGAAUAAAGCACUUUGUGGUGCAGCACGAUUGCAAGUUCCACCAUGCAAAACUGGUACCUCCAAAGGAACACGGAGAACUCUUUUUCUAUUUCUCAAGAUUUUUUUUCCAAUGAUUGCAUUAUGUUGUAUGCUAUUACUGAUCCAUGUGUUGGUAAAACAGUACUUCCAAAAAGGGAUGAUAGCUGUUCUUCCAACAAAAAGAAGAACAAUUUUGUACCAAGAAAUUGCGCUAGCAACAGAUGGAUUUAGUGAAAGUAACCUACUUGGCACUGGGGGUUUUGGUUCUGUUUACAAGGGAACAAUGAAAGAGGAGAAGAAUGUUGCAAUAAAGGUUUUCAAUAUGCAUACAGAAAGAGCAAUAAGGAGUUUUGAGGAUGAAUCCAAGUUAUUGUCCAUUAUUCAUCAUCCUAAUAUUGUCAAACUCAUUAACAGUUGCCGUGAUGAUGAUUUCAAAGCCUUGGUGCUAGAAUACAUGCCUAACGGGACCUUGGACAAGUGGCUUUACACUCAUAAUUAUUUUCUGAAUCUCUUGCAAAGACUUGACGUAAUGAUAGAAGUUGCAUCAGCAAUGCUUUACCUUCAUGCAAGACAUGCUGUUCACUUUGAUUUGAAACCUAGCAAUAUCCUGCUAGACGAAGAUAUGGUCGCUCAUGUUAGUGAUUUCAGCAUUGCCAAAAUCUUAGAUGAGCAGAAGGCUGUAAAACAAACCUCAACCUUGUCCACUGUUGGGUAUAUGGCACCAGGUAAUGUUUCUAUUUUGAUUUAUAUUUGCAUUAUAUAAUUCAUGUAUGCAUGUAAUUUUUCUUUAUCUGAAUAAUGCAUUUCUAUCUUACAUAUAGAGUAUGGAUCAAGUGGAAUUAUAUCUGAAAAAACAGAUGUGUAUAGCUUUGGUAUUCUACUGAUGGAAACAUUUACCAGAAAGAAACCCACAGAUGAAAUGUUUGAUGGAGAAAUGAACUUGAGGCGCUGGGUAUGUGAGUCAUUACCUCGUGCGGUAGAUAGAAUAACAGAUGUAGCUUUACUUGAGGCUGAUCAGGAAGCCAUAUCUGCCAAAAGAAAAUGUAUACUAUCAAUCAUGAAAGUGGCUAGGUUUUGCACUGCAGAGUUGUCUGUUGAGAGGAAGACUAUGAGAGAAGUUGAAGAAGAGCUCCAGAGGAUCAAAAAAAAUUAUUUAAGAGACAGUGAAUGUCAAGUCCAAAGAGAAAUAUAUCCAAGUAUUUCACGGCAAGAACUUCUAUUAGCAACGGAUGGCUUUAAUGAAAGUCAAAUAGUUCAGUAUGGGGAAUUUGGUGUCUUGUACAAAGGAAAAAUGCCAUCACCAUAUGGGCAUGAUGUAUACAGAGCAAUAAAGGUUUUUAAUCGAAUAAAAAGAGGGCGGGAGAGUUUUGCAGUUGAAUCUGAAGCACUGUCCUUUAUUCGCCAUCGGAAUGUUGUCAAAAUCUUGAAGAUGUGCAAUGAAGUUGAUUUUAAAGCAUUGGUUCUGGAGUACAUGCCCUAUGGAUCUCUGGAACAAUGGCUUCAUUACAAUGAUGAUGACAGCCCCUUAAGGAAUAUCUUGACAAUGCUUAAUACAAUGAUAGAUGUGGCAUCAGCUUUGUGCUACCUCCAUACAAUGUGUGUCAUUCACUGCAAUUUAAGACCUAGCAACGUUCUACUAGAUAAUGACAUGGUUGCACAUGUUAGUGAUUUUAGCAUUGCCAAACGCGUAAGUGAAAGAACUGCAGCAACAAAAACCGCGACUAAGGCCACUGCUGGAUAUAUGGCUCCAGGUGACGUUUCUCAUCAUGUUCAACUACAAAAUAUCAUAACAUCAUGCAUUAUAUUGGAUUUUUUAUACUUAAUGCAUUGAUACUGUUUUGAUGUAGAGUAUGAAUCAACUGGAACUGUUUCUGAUAAAACUGAUGUUUAUAGCUUUGGUAUUCUACUGAUGGAAACAUUUACCAGAAAGAAGCCCACAGAUGAAAUAUUUAACGGUGAAAUGAACCUCAGGCAUUGGGUAUGCUCUUCAUUACCUCAUGCAGUUGAGAGUAUUGUAGAUUUCACUUCGCUGCAAUCUUGUUGGAGAGACUUAGCUGCUGAUAGGACAUGUAUAUUAUCAAUCAUGGAAGUGGCCUGUGGUUGUACUGCAGAGUCGCCCGAUGAUAGAAUGACUAUGACAGUAGUUGCAACCAAGCUCGUGAGGAUCAAAAAAGAGUAUCUAAGUGGGAGGAGAUAGCUUUAAUAUGACACCACAGAUUUUUUUUCCUUUUACUUCUUUUACUUUUUCCUCUCUUCUCUUGUUCCUGCUUUUCUAAAUUAAGGGGUAACAGGUUGUUCCUGUCAGAAACAGGGCGCAGAAGAGUGCUUUAGUGAUUCAUCACAUGAUAAAACAUGUUUUUCUUGUAUGAUUUUGUUCAUUAAUUCAGAACCAAUAUACAUCUCUACCCUUUUUAAAUUAAAAAUAUACGUCUCUCCUUUAGCAUUGCUGUAGGACAAUUUAAAAACUAACCAGACUAAAACUGCGGAAAUAAUAGCCUUAUUGUUAUCAAACUUGAUUACAGGUUUGUUACCUUUUCGACUAAGGUGCAAAGUGACUCCAAGAUUUUUGUUUUGACAUUUCAUGAACUUUUCUUUGAUCAACUCGUAGUGAAAAAUUGCUACAGUGGUUGAGUAGGAUCCUCAUUGAUCACAGUGCAAAAACCAUUUGACUUGGCAAUGAAGGGAGAAAAUUUAUUCAUCAGUGUAAGUAGAAUCUGUUUUUCAUAUAAAAUCACGAUAUUGAAAAUCCACAUAAAACGUAUUUGCCUAAAAGUAAAAGAAAAAGAAAGAACUCUUCAUUGGUUUCCAACAAUGCAAAACAACUUUGAUAUUAUAUGGAGUAAUAGUGCUUGGCUACGAAUAUUUUUCUCAAGUCUGGAACAGAAACAACAUUGUAGCCGUCAAACAUAGCAAGGCUAUUAUAAGACAUUGAAUUCCACCAAUGAUAUACCCACUUGAAGUGGGAAUAACAAUUGAAGGAUUGUUGUUCUUCGACGCAGGCUGCGGAAGUGUAGUUCCAGGCUGUGCUUCAGGGGCACCAACAGUCGAAGAUGUUUGAUCACCUUCGACGUUUACUUGAAGCUUCAUGCCUCCAAGACAAUGCAACCUGUUACCAUAAACGAAAUAUCUGGCACCAACAUUUGACAAUGUAACAGUUGUGUUCCCAUUGGAAAAUGUUCUCAGAGUAUCCGUUGUGUUGCAAGUUUUGAAACUUUUUUUGGUUACCUCGCUUACACUGUGAUAUGAUGAGUGUUGGAACACUACAAGAAACAGAAAACAAAUGAAAUUUGUCACUAAACUCAACAGAAGAAAGGAUAUUAGGGUUCCUUAAUUGCUUGUGACAUGAACAAAAAAAAAAAAAGAAAACUCGUUAUCUUUUCUAAGAUGGCAACAAGACACUUGCAUAGAACAUCACCAACAUUGAAUCUCUUGUCACUAACCCAUGAAUCAAUGUCAGUACUUAUGUCCCAGCCGGAUGUGUCCCCAACCACGUACGUUGUAGCAUCACUUGUUAAUGCAAAGCAGAAAAGAACAAGAAAACAAAGCAGAAUCAGCUUGGCCAUGAAUGAGAGAUUAAUUGAUGUUUUUGAGAUGAUGAAAUUUGGCAUUGUAUAUGUACCUCAGGGUUGCUUAUUAUUAGAUGACCUACCUUUAGAACUGCAAAUAUCCUUUUGUUUGUUGUGUCAUAUAUAUUUAUUAUUUUUUAAUGAUUGACAUUGAGUGAAGAACUAAGAAAGAUAUCUAAUUAUUAGCCAGGCCCUUUUGGACCUUUCCUUUUCCAUUGUUUUUGUUGCAAUUGGAAAACAAGUGGUUAAAAUUUGUUGGGUUACAUUAAUAUGGCUGCUUUGCUGUAAAUCUAGUUAAAUCACUAGUUAAUACCCAACCUCCGUUUUGGUCACCCCUGGAACUCUCUGUAACGCCAGUUCAACGCCCCAAAACCACCCCGCACCGAACUGAGCAAACUGCUGACCAGGAGCCGGGACGUCGUCGUCCGGACCCUGAGCGAUGGCGGAGUUUUCCAUUGACGGCGUUGGCUUGUUGUUGGCUCCGAAGCCGAGGUUUUUCAGGAUGUUCAUGCGGGAUUUGUAGACGAAAAUGGAUCGUUUGGCUUGAGGGAAAGGGAAAGAAAGUCGAGAGAAAGAGAAGGGAAGUUUUGGAGAGAUCGAAAAGAAAGGUUUAGAAAUGAGAGAAGAAGAAGAAGAAGAAAAAGAAGUGGCAAGUGUAAGACUCCGUAGCAUUGUUCUUGGGUAUUGGAGUUGGAAAGAACAACAACGGUGACAAUUAUUUUGCUUGUAAAAAAAAUUUUUUUUUGGGGAUUCUUUCUAAUUUUUCAUUUUAAAAAAAUAAAUUAUUUAUUAUGGUGGUUUGCUUUUUCGGUAAAAUGUCAACAACAAGAUUGCUUUAUCUUUUAAAAAGUGGGUGUAAAUUAGAUUUUUUUAAUUAAUUUUUAGUAUAUAUUACCUUAUUAAUUUUGUAUGUAAAAUUUAAAAAAGUAAAAAUAAUUUUUUAGUGAGAAUAGAUAAACUACUAGAUAAGAAUGGAUGACUGUGAGUAUGAUUCUUUUGACAAUGGAAUUAAAAUUGGGGGAUGAUGAUGGUUACUUUUGUACUCUUUCGGGGUUUAUCUAUUUUUUUACUUUUUUGGCGUUGAAUGGAAUGUGGUGGAGGGGGCAGUUGUUACUGACCUUCGAAAGAAGAGUCUAGAACAGUAGCAAGUGUGGUAACAAACGUCAACAAAUGUGUGGCCAUGCCAGCCACACUGUGCAAUUUCAGUGGGUUUUUGGGCCUUUUUCAUCUCAUGAAGAAACGAGCUCGGCCCACUCUAUCAUAAUUAAUCAGGUCAAAACUUUACUUUGGAGUUGGGACAUUGAUUUCAGACAUAUGAACAAGUGAUCCAAUCUGUUACAUGUUCCUUCGACAAUGUAGUUUCUAGCUGCCACCGACAGAAUCUGUCAUCAACCUUCAUAAAUUACUAUAGCAACAUUUUAAAUGUGUUAAUCUUUCAACGUUUGAAUAGGACGACGGAGUGAUUGCUCUUCUUCCCAGUGAAUUCUCUUACAUGAAAUUGAAUCUGGUGUGACCUUGGAGGGUUAGGUCAGGAACAAGGUACAUAAAUCACAACAAAAAGUUUCAGUUGUAAGACUAAGAGAUCCAAAUCUGUAUGAAGCCAUGAAUAGUUUAUGGUUUAAGGUAUUGCCAUUUGCUACAAUCUUUAUUGAAACUGCAAAUUAAACAAACAAGAUAGAGGGAACAUGUUGCACUUUGUAAAAAUCUUCACCUCGAAUCCUAUCCACGAAUGAUUUUGGCAUUUCUUCAAUGUCCAACUCACGUAGGGCACUAAGGGAUCUUGUUCCUUCAGGGAGCAUCUUUAAGUUUCCACAAUUGAUGAUCCGGAAACUCCUAAGCCUUACAACUGCACCUUCUUCAAGAUUUAACUCUUCCAAGGAUUCCAAGGAGUGAAACUCCAGGAACUCAAGUUGAGGAAAGCCACUGACAGAUAUUGCCAUUUUGUCUCCAUCAUAGGAACGUGCUUUUAGUCUCAGAAUCAAUAAUCUUGGCAAGUUCUCUAGUAUCCCCACUGAAGCUUGCUUGAGAUGAGUAUGUGCUAAUGUCAACUGAGACAGAUUUGGUGGGAAUUCCUGCGAGCUAGGUAAUUGCCUUAUCGUUCCUCUCAUAUGCAACUUGACUAGAUUUUGAAGAGCAGAAAAUUGUGUGAACAACGGAAAAUCAGCAUCUUCGGUACGCAGGUACAGGGACUGAAGUUGUACAAGUGCCACAAUGGAGUUGAAUAUUUCAUUAGCUUGCAAGCUGAAGUUUCCUCUGAUUCCCAAUUUCCGCAGGCUGGUUAAAUUUGCAGAGUUGUUUUGCAUCCAUUUUUCGACAUUUAUCUCUGAUAAAGCUUGGAGAUGCUGUAGUGUGUCAAUUCGCAUUGGCCCCCCAUAUUUAUGCCCACACAUAUAAAGAGAUCGUAAUUUUGUUAGCUUCCAUAUUACAUUGGGAAUUGUUUUCAGAUGAAGAUUUGCAGCUACAUCAAGAGUCUGUAGGUUUCGCAAAGAACCUAUGGCUGAUGAAAGCUCCUGUAGGUUCGUCUCCUUUAGCCCCAAGUACUUCAAAUGAAUGAGUAACCCAAUUACGCUCGGAAUGGUAGUACAUGGUAUACCCUCCAACUCCAGAAUUCUGAGCAAUUUGAAAUUUUUGCCAACAUAAUCUAAAUCGCUGCCUUCCAUCUUGUAAGGAUCAUUUCUAUAAUACUUAACCUGGUUUUUGUGAUGAUCAACUCUAAAGAAGAGAAGUGUGCGGAGAUGGGGAUUUGUAUGCUUGCAUUGUCGCCAAUUGAAGGUAGAGUAGAUGGCAUGACGACGACAUCUAGCUGAAGGAUGUGUAUUUUGACUCCCUUGAAUUUCAUGAAAGCUCUCAGCUUUGGCCUUCGAGAUGGAGAGGUCUCGUAGUAGAUCAUGAAGACGACAUUGUUUAACUCUGUCGCUGACACUCAAUUUGGCUACUUGAACCAUGUUUCUCUCAAUUAACUCAUUCAAGUAAUCCUCUGCUACAUCCUCCAUCCUUUCACCUUGCUCUGGUAUCAAACCCUCCGCAAUCCAUAGCCUAAACAAUUUAUGCGAGGGAAUGGGGUGGUCUUCAGGGAACUGUCCGAGAUGGAGGAAACAAGAUUUGAGGUAAUAUGGCAAAUCGUUGUAACUCAAAGCCAGUAUAGCUGAUACCCCAUUUGGGUCUUGAGCAAAGAAUGAGCUCAUAUUGGAAAGAACCCUUUUCCAUUCUCCCACAUUUCUUUUUCUUGAAAGCAAUCCUCCCAUCACAAGGAUGGCUAGUGGUAAACCAGCACAUUUUUCAACAAUCUCCUUCCCAAUUUCCUCCAACUGUGGGGAACGAUGGGCGUCAGCGCUAUCAAUGAAAGCUUUCUUGCAGAACAACAGCCAACCAUUUUCUUCGCUCAGAAAAUGCAAAUCAUGGGGAAUGCUUCUAGCAUCAGCUUUGAGGGCAAUACUCCUGUUGCGAGUAGUAAGCAUCACUCUGCUUCCAUUACUUCUGUCUGGAAAGGCCUCAGACAGAGAAUUCCAUGCUUCUAUGCUCCAUACAUCAUCCAGGACCACCAAAUACCGUUUUUUUCGAAGGUGGUCAUAUAGAACUUCUUCCAGUUCUUCUUCCCGCAACGAUUCCAACUUUCGUCCUGUUGUCGCCACUUGCUUUAUAAUUGCCUGAAGUAUGUCUCUAGUACUGAAUUCCUGGGAUACAUAGACCCAUGCUCGGGUAGGAAAACGGGCCUGGAUAUCAUCAUGAUUGUAAACCUUUUUGGCAAGAGUGGUCUUGCCAAUGCCCCCCAUUCCGACUAUUGAAAUCGCAUGCCACUGGUCCUCAGUUUGGACAAGUUGUGUCACCAGCUUAGCUAUAUCUUCGUCCAGGCCAACAAUAUCCUUUUCUUCACCGCGAGGAGAUGAUCUUCUCUGCUUCCGGAGCCUCUCCCUCGCAGUGCUAAUCCCCUCUCCAAUGUUCUUGAUACCAUACUUUUCACGACUCUCAGAUAUAUCAAGGAUUCUUCCCUGGAUGGCCAUGAGCUCCUUCGCAAUCUUGGAGCGAUGUUUCCAAUCUACGAAAAUGGAAGCAUACCUUCUCAUGGGGUUCUUUUUCUUGACGGAAUCAAUUCUGAGGAUGAAUGUGUCAAUGAUAUCCUCAACAUCAUAAGCAACAUUUCUAAUAUCGGAAACCCAGUUCCGCACUCUCUCAUCAUCAUCUUGCUUUGCAUCCGCAUCCCUCAAGAAACAUCGCAUCCGCAUCAAUUCAUCUUGUAGACGCACAACUUCAUCUCGAACAUUUGUUUUAAAAUCAAUCUCUUCGAGUAUGUAAGCUAGCCUUUCUACCACAACGGAAACAGCAGCUUCAGCCAUGCCAAAACACUUUAAUAUCUUCUAAUCGAUCUGGAAUGCGUUUGACCGGAAUAAAGGAACCACAAUUCAGUUCAAUUUACUCUUACAUUGAAACCCAGAAGAAGCUCUGAUGUUUAUCAAAGAUGCAGGGAGUCAACAUCAAUAGAAAUCCACCCUCUCUUUUACCUCAAACCCACACUUUCAUCUCACUAGAUCCGCUCAUAUACUCUAUCUAGCAUAGAAGGUUAGUUUCUAGUAGAUCUAGCCUGAUAGAGAAUCAGUAAAAACUUAUCAUAGUCAUAGAAGUGUUCAGAUCCUAACUUUUGGAGGGGGCAGUGGAACUGUUGAAGGUGUUCCCGUCCAGGCUUUGUAGCUUCAGCAGCUUGUAAGCGCCAAUCUCCUUCCAGUCCGAAUAUGCACUUAUAUUAGAAGAUUUCCCAGUCCAAGCUUAGCUGCUCCAGCUUGGGGAUGUUGUUGUAAUCUGUCUUCCAGGUGCAAAUAUUAACUCGUUUGCUUGUCUGGUUAGCUUGCUUACUUGUGAAGUUAGAUCUAGGUUUCUGUCAGGAUUGAAGUUUAGUCUCUUAUCAAUCCGCUUAUGGUUUAGCACGUUGCAAGUAAAAGUGGUAUUGUAACUCUUUUGUACCAAUAGUGGUACCAGGUUUUGGCGUUUUGCUUUGUUUGCGUUGAGAACGCCUUUUUUAAGUUAAUAAUUGAUCCUUCCAGGGAAGGUUGCAAGCAAAUAAAAAAAAAGUCAAUGAAGGAUAUUCUUCGGAUUCGUUUUCGGGAAGAAAAGAAUUAGAGAUAUAUAAUGGUAAAAAAAAAAUAUAAUAAUUUUUUUUCUUUUUUAGUCUUUAGCAAAUAAUUAGGAAUAUCUUAAUUAUUUAUAUCGAUUUGAUAUAUUAUAUUAGUAUGAUAUCUUUAGUGUCACUUCAGCUCGAUCCUAUCUUAAUUAUUCAAUUUUUAUCUCCUUCAAUUUACUUAUAAAUAUGAAGAUUUAAACACCAUGAAAUUAGAUUUAUCCUAUUUAUCUCUUUCUUCUUUCCUACUUUCUCACUUCAUUUCAACCUGACCAUUUUUAACUUGUGCGUCUACGUGUAAACGUAGGGAACAUCUCCUAUCUUUACCUCUAAUCAUUCUUUCCUUUUGCAUUUACAGGAAUACUUUUAGGUCGGAGCUAGAUACCAAUAUUUGGUACUUCAGGUACUUCAGGUACGAGCACAUUUCACAUCAGUCAAGCACAAAAUAAUGUCACUAAGAAAAAAAACCCAAGAAAAAGGAAAGACAGUCGUCUGGACUAGAACAAAAACUUACAAGGCUAGCAUUCUAUCUGUUUAGCUCGACUAUAGGUAGGACUAACUAUGAAACAAUUUUAAGCCCUGAUCGAACAAAUACAAGCUCUCAAUCAGAUGUUGCAAACCAUAACCCCAUCAUAAGUUUCUAAAGUGCAUGACUUAAUCAUACCAGGUCGAGAAGCUGUCGUUGGGCAACCGAGCUACGAAGAGGCUUUUGCCUCUUUGGCCUCUAGAGAAUAAAAACACACAAACCCAACUCAUUCAGCCACAAUUUCACACAUGUUAUAACCUAAAAAUCCAAACAAAUAGACCAUGAACCCCAAUUGAACAGAGAUUUGAAAGCUCGGAGGUAGGCCAUAGAGAAAAAACUAAAAAUAAAAGCAGUGGCAUUUGAGGAUGAGCUCAAGUUCCUGGAGACCUCACCCUUUGCUAAAGAGAUUGAUAGUCAUACCUCUCAAGGGAUUUAAAAUGCCAACCUUUGAGACAUAUGACGGUACUUCUGACCCUUUGAUCAUUUGAAAUUUUAUAUAACUAACAUGAUAAUACUUGGGAUAGAUGAGGCUUUGAUGUGCAAAGGUUUAGCCAUUACGUUGAAAGACGUAACUCGAUCUUGUAUAACAAUCUGGAGUCAAGGUCGAUCUCUACAUUUAAAGAGCUCAGCCACUUAUUCCUAUCCAAAUUUGUAAAGAGUCAAAGAGCUAAGAAAACGACUUUGAGCCUAAUAUCGAUUCAUCAAAUGUGGAAUGAAACUCUAAAAAGCUAUAUCAAACGUUUUAACGUAGAAGCUUUACAGGUUAAAAACCUAGAAUAAACGACCACUAUUGUUGCACUGAUUAGUGGACUCAAUGAUAAAGAGUGUCACUUAAAAAUAACAUUGUCACUAAAACCACCCAAAUCUCUAGCUGAUGUCCUGCUAAUAGCAGAAAAAUAUAUCAACGUUGAAGCUACAAUGAAAAUAAACCAAAGUGAGAGAGGUUUAUCCCCCCUCUUUGCUCAUAAAAAAGGUAAAAAAAUUUACGAUCUUACCUUAAAAGAGAGACAAUAAAGGGCUAGAAGUCCUAGUAGAGAAAGAAACUACAUUGUACUAAAUACCUCUUAAGAGAAGAUUUUGAUGUAAUUGAAAAAAAUUUUGACCUCAAAUAGCCUAAGCUACUGAGAUAAAACAUAAGAAGGGAUCCAAUAAAAAGAGUGCCUUCUACCAAGACAUUGACCGUAAUAUCGAAGACUGUGUCGACUUAAAAAAUAAGAUUGAAACUCUGAGAAGGUAAGGUUAGUUGAAAAGAUUUAUGGGACAAAGAAGACCAGACUAAUUUAGAAGAGACUACAGAAAUGAUCACAGAGCACCCACUCAAGGUAGAGAUGAAAGAUCAAAUUAGGAAAAAAAAGAUACUUAAAGAAAAAAGCUGAAUAAAAAAAAGGUCGAGCUAACAAUAGUACGCCAAUCACCGAGGUGAUUAACAUAAUGACAUGAGAUAGCUUUACCUCGAUAAAAAAAAAAGUUUAACCUAGGCAUGGUAAUGGCAAUAGGCACUUCGGCUAAGAAAGAAAUAUUGGAGAGAUGAGUCAAUCUUGUUCAGCUUGAAAGAUUUGAAGAUAAUCCAACACUUACAUGAUGAUGUCAUAGUGAUCACAACCUUGGUGUACAACUAUGUAGUCAAAAAAAUCCUAUUUAACAAUGAAAGCUUGACCGAUGUUAUGUACUAUGGCUAUUUCAAGAAAAUAAAGAUUGGCAAAACCAAUCACCAUAACGUUAAUGGGGUUUGAAAACGGAUAAGUGCCAGUAAGAGAAACUAUCAAGCUUUCAAUCUUUUUGAGGAAAAAGCUAAAGAUAAUUACCUCGAUCGUGGAGUUCAUGGUAGUAGAUAUCCUAUCUACCUAUAAUAUGAUAUUAGACCGACCAAGCUAGUAUGUUAUGCGGCUCAUAAGUUCAGCUUCUCACUUGAAAAUGAAAUUCCCAACAUUUGCAGGGGUUGAAAAAGUUUGAAAAGACCAGUCCAUAGCACGAUAAUGUUAUGUCACAAUGAUAAAUGGUAAGACUAAGAAGCAGACAAGUAGCUCGAUCGAUACCGAGAUACAAAACAAAGAGGAAUCGACAUAGAGAAUUGACAAAGAGUAUGAAACUAUUGAUAAGAACAUAGAAUGUAAGAUCGAUCUAGGAGAAGCAUGCUUUUAAGCCGCUCUUAGCUUCUAAGCUCUACAAAAGUUUAAUUUUUUUAUUUUUUAUAUUUUUUGGGCAAUAAUAAAAAUGAUCGAGCUCUUAAGUCAGUAUAAAAAUUUUGAGGUUACAUAGGUCGAGCUAACACGUUGGUCAAAAUACAAUAUUAAAUGAAAAACAUAAUUCACUUUUACUAAUACAUUCAACAAGUCAUUCAAUAUACUAAUCCUCAUGUCCAGAUCUAUUUUUGUAGAAAAUGAUCUUGACCUAAUGGACCAAAAAGAGAUAAUCGAUCAAAGAUUAAACUCAAAUAUAAAUUGACUCAAGUUGAUUGAAAACCUCAUGAUAAUUCUAUUUUGGAGCAAAAUUAUUCAAAAAUACAUGUAGAUCGAAGCUAAGCUCUAGCAUAAAGACUAACUGAUUCAACUCAUAAAAGAUAAUAUCAACUUGUUUGCUUGGACAUCAUUUGAUAUGCCUGAAAUUGAUACUAAAGUGAUGGUCUACAGAUUACAUACUAAUCCUGAGGUCAAACCAGGUUAGUAAAAAAAAAAAAACUUUUGUCCCUAAAAGACAACAAGCCAUUGAGAAAGAGGUUGACAAAUUAUUACGAGCUGACUUUAUCAGAGAGGUCUACUACAUCGAGUAGAAAGCUAAUGUGAUCAUAGUAAAAAAUCACAGUGAAAAAUAAAAAAUGUGCAUGGACUUUAUCAACUUGAAUAAAAUCUAUCUAAAAGAUAACUUCUCUCUCCCUAGCAUAGAUCGGCUAGUAGAUAAUAGUGUCGAGCAUGAUUUUUUUAUCUUUAUGGAUUAUUAUUUCGGCUAUAAUAAGAUCAAAAUAUUAAAAAAAAUAAGGAUAAAAUAACCUUUAUUGUUAAGAAAAACUUUUACUAUUAUAAGGUCAUGCUUUUUAGAUUAAAAAAUAUAAGGGUGAUCUACCAAAAGCUGGUCAACAAAGUAUUUAAAAACUAGAUUGAUUACAAUAUGAAAGUGGAUGUGAAUGAUAUGAUAGUAAAAAAUAAGAGUUUGACCAAGCAUCUAGAAGACCUCAAAAAAACUUUCAACAUUUUGAAAAAGUAUAAUUUGAGGUUUAACCUAAAAAAAAUAUGCUUUUAGGGUUACUUAAGGGUAAGUUCCUCGACUACAUGAUCAAUUAAAUGGGGAUAAAGGUGAACCUCGAGAAGGUUUAGGCAAUCCUAGAAAUGAAAACACUAACCUCGGUAAAAGAGGUGCAAAGGUUAACAAGUAGAAUAAUUGCACUUAGCCAAUCAAUAUCUAGAUCGAUAGAAUGAUGUCUACUAUUCUUCAAAACUCUCAAGAAUGUUUCUGACUUCAAAAAGACUCUUCAAUGUUAAAAAGCUUUUGAUGAACUCAAAGAGUUCUUAUCUUCCCAGCUUAUCUUAUUUAAAUCAAGGAUCGAAAAAACAUUGUACUUAUAUUUGGCCAACAUAAAUCAGGUUGUUAGCUUGAUUUUAGUCUUAAAAAAAGAAAAAAAAUGACAAUCGAUUUAUUUCAUGAGUAAAGUAUUGACAGGGCUUGAAGUUAACUACGAUAGUAUAGAAAACUUCGCCUAUGCCAUGGUUACCUCGAUCAGAAAACUCAGACUAUACUUCAAGCUCACACGAUCCAUGUCGAGUAAAGCGUACCUCAAUACAAUUAAAAGGAUAACUUGAGAAAAAAAAUUUUAGAUAAGGAUGACUAAAAGCUCUAUGUUGACGGAUUUGCUAAAAGUUAGGAUGGAUGAGUCGAUCUCAUUCCAAUUAGUUCGAAAGGGCUAUAGUACCUAUAUAUUUUGACAUUAAGUUUAGGGCAUCUAAUAAUAAAGUGAAUUACGAGACAUUGAUAGCCGCUUUAAGGUUGGCAACCAAGCUGAAUGUUCAAUACAUAAUCAUUUAUAGUGAUUCUCAAUUGAUGGUCAAUGAGUAAAUAUGGAGUUCAAAGCUCAGAAAGAUAGAAUUCAAAAGUAUCUCUAUAAAACACUAGCCUUGAUAGAUAGUUUCAAAAAAAUUGAGGUGAUACUAAAGUUAAAAAAUUCAAUAGUAAACUCUUUGUUUAAGUUGACUUCAAGAGGAGCAAUGGAAAGCUUAAACCAAGUUCUAAUAUAUGAACUAGUGCAUAAUAGCAUUGAAAAUAAGCUCAUGGGACAUGUCAUAAAGAAAGAAACCUAGAUGACACCAAUUAAAGCAUAUCUGACCACAAAAGUGUUACUCGAUGAAAAAGUCUAAGCUAAUGCACUGAUGAAAAAGGUUUUUCGGUACACAAUGAUCAAAGAAAAAUUAUAUAAGAGAUCUUUUAACCUAUCCUACUUGAGAUAUGUUGAUGAAAAAAAGGCGGAGUAUGUACUGAAAGAAAUACAUGAAGGAAUAUAUGAAAAUCACCUUGGACCUUAGCCUUUGGCUUAUAAAGUGCUGAGAUAGGGUUAUUACUAGCCUAUCAUAAAAAAGGAUGUAACUGAACUGGUGAAAAAAUAUGAUAAAUGUCAAAAAUUUACCCAUGUGUAACAUCUCUUCAACUGAGCUCACUCCUAUCAUCAGCUUAUGACCAUUCAUGCAAUACUUGGUGGACAUUCUUAGACCAUUCACCCUAACCACUGGUCAGAAAAGAUUUGUCUUAUGAUAAUAGAUUACUUUACAAAAUAGUUAAAAGCUAAAGCCCUAGCCACUACCAUGAAAGCACAAGUUAAGAAGUUUAUGUGAAAAAACAUAGUUUGUAGAUUUAGACUACCUCAAUCUAUAAUAACAGAUAAUGACAACUAAUUUGAUAAUCUGAGGUCCAAUGAAUAGUGCCAAACCUUCACAUCGAUCUCAGGCUGACGUCAAUUACCCGUCUUCAGUUUAACAAAUAGAUUAAAGCUACAAAUAAAAUAAUAUUGAAGCUAUAAAAAAAAGUUCGAUGCAACAAAUAGGCUGACGAACUACCAGGAGUUAUGUGAGCCUUGAAAACAACCAUGAAGAUGGCCACUGGUGAAACUCUCAUUCAUUUGGCAUUUGGAAUAGAGGCAGUAAUACUGGUUGAGAUCUACUGGCUAAGCUUAAGAGUCGAAUUUGCAUCGAAAAAAAAAUAAAAAGACGCUUAGAGUCGACCUUGACUUUGUCGAAGAACAAAAAGAUAUAGCCCUGACUUGGAUCACGGUCUACCAACAGAAGGUAGCCAAUUAUUAUAAUGAAAGGGUCCAUCGUAAACAUAUCAAGAAGGGUGACUUGAUACUUCAAAAAAUUAAAGCCUCAAGGGUAGAUGAUUGAGGUGGCAAGUUGGCCUCAAUGUAAGAAGGACUUUAUAUUGUUAAAAAGGUCAUCUAUAAUGCAACCUACAAAUUACAAAAUCUAAAUGAUGACAUUAUCCCAAGGACGUGGAAUACAGACAACUUAAAGAUUUAUUAUCAGUAGCUCAAUUUUAAUUGAGCUCGCACUUCUAUUAUUUUAUCCUGAGGAUAUGAAAUGCAAAUAAAGAUCUAUUAUUAUUAGAUUGUUUCUAACCAAGCUCACACAUGAAAUUAUCUUCAGUAAGCUUAUGUAUAAGUGAUUUAAAGUCAUUUGAAAAAAUUCGACCUAGAACUUGUAACUACGUUAAUCUAAUCUAAAGUAAUUAUGCAAGUUUGUAGUCCAAUUAUUUAUGUUUGGAUCGAUAAAUUGCUCUCGAACUAAUGCAAAUAAAAAAAGAUAGUAAAAUUGAGCUAAAACUUAAAAUUUUUUUUUCUAUUUUUAAUGUAAUAAAGUACAUCAAUUGAAGUAUGUGAGGUUUUUAUAAAAACCUUAUUUCAAAGUUAAAAAGUUUACAAAAUAAAAAAUAAAAAUCAUCAAAUUCAGUCAUUAGCGAUAGUAACACCAGUGGGAAGAGUACUUUCACCAACAAUAGAAAAAAUAACGACCUCAGCUUCAUUGACCUCUAUGUUUUCUUUCUUUAUCCUUAUGGUGACCUUCAGUUCUUUCUUCAAGGCCUCAUCUUCAUUUUUUUCCUCUUUUUUCUCAUCUUUUUUAGGCUGAUUUUGAACAAGCUUCUAUAUAAUAUUACUGAUAUCAAUAACAGAAAGAUCAAGGUUGAGAGAAGAGAAUUUGAAUUGCAUCUCUUCUUUGGCUAGCUGAAAGGCACCAAGAACGUUAUUCUUGAAGAAUUUUAUAUUUGCUCAGAGAUAUUCAUUGGAGGCUUUAUACUUUUUCAUGGCUUUCAUCUUUAACUCUUUUUUUCUCUUGUCUCGAGCCUCUAACUUGGACUUUAACCUUGUAAUUUCAGCCUGAGAAUCAUUUAGUUUCAGUUUGGCUUAUUCUUUUAUCGAUUUAGCUAAGGCAUUAUCCACCGAGAUGAUUUUUAACUUUGUUACCAGGUCAUUUACUUUUCUCUUCAAUUUUGUCUUCUUCUUGUGAGAUGUAGUGAAAAUCGAUCUGAUACUACCCAAUGCUUUUGAGCUCUUUUUAUGCUCAUUGAUAAGGGUAGCCAUAUUUUUCUCAACCUUCAGCAUAUGCCCCAUAGCCAAAUAAGCAUAAUAAAGGACCUGAUUACUGUUUUCUACAAGCUAAGGGGGAAAUUUUAUUUUAGACUGCACAAAAAGAGCUUAGACUUAAAAAAAUAAAAAUAAAAAUAAUAGUUAAAAAUCGAGCUAAGGUCGAGAGAUACUUAUCAAAAGGAGAAAUCGUAACUUUACAUAAUCUUCUAGCAACAUCGAAGUUAGAGAUAGUGUCAUCCAUUAUAGCAAACUCCAACCCAAUGGUUAUUCUUUCCAUACUAGGUGUUAACACCUUAGUCUCGGGGUUCUUAGGAUCAGAAGAUAACAUCUCUACCUAUGGUUUUUUAGCUGAAAAGGGUGAUGUCGAGGCUGAUGUGAAGGAUAGGUCCUGACCUAUCUUAGCUUUUGAUUUUCGACCUGGAGGAGUAUGGGGUAUAACUUUACUGACUACUUUAUCUCCCUCACACAACGAGGCCCUAAGUUGGAUUUUUUUUUUUCUUGGGCCUCAAGGCACAUUGAUAUAGGGUAACGUUAAAGUCUUCCUCAAUUUUAGCCAUAUUUACAAAACUGAGCUAACAAUUAGAUGAAAAAUUAACUUAAAAUAAAACUUGAUGAGGUUACCUCAAACUUAUCCCAAUGUUUUGUCUUGUUUAUUACUUCUAAAGAGGUCAGGUCGUUAACGUCAAUAAUGAGCUCUUUCUUAUAUAUAAAAUCUAAAAUUUUAUCCUGAUUUGAUAGAUCAGGGAUGAAAAAGGCCACUAGCGCAUCCAUAGAGGAGUCAGGUGUACUUUUUAUUUUUCAAGCCUUAACUUCGAGGUUCACCAUCUUUAUUGACCUUUUAUUUCUCAAGGCAUAAGAAGAUUAGCUUUCAAUUUUUCAUUGAGUUCAGGUAAUCGAUAAGAAUCUUUUUAUUUGGUUGAGCUAUGAUAUAAAAUCACAUACUAUCAUUAUGAUGUUUUUUAAGAAAAAAAACUCCUUAAAUAGAGAGAAAAUGAAGAAUAUUUAAAUGUUAACAAAAAAUAAUAAAAGAGACUAUAUACCAAAUAGAAUUUGGGAUAAGUUGAGAAUGGUUAAAUUAUAAGAAUUAAAAAUUAAAAUGAAUAAAAUAUGAAGUGAAACCGUAGACUGGUCACGAAAGAAUUCCAAUAUACAUAAAGCCAAUGUGGCUCUAGUCUAUCAGUGACCUAGUCUGAAAAGUUUGACAUUAUUAUACUGUAUCCCUCUCUAAAAAAAAGAAAAAUGAUAUCCAUAGCUCAAAUGUGAUUAGCUAAGCAAAUGUUGAUAUAGUUUUUUAGAUUUGCUCUGCCCUUUAACUUACUCGUCACGUCCUUAGAGAUCACGCUGACGUCACACGAAGUUUAUAUAGAAAACUUUGGUGAGUUUAUCCUGCUUUACAAGACUCUUUCCUUUGUUAUCACUUUUUUUUGCUGAGGUAUUACCUUUCUCUUAUCCCUUAUUGAAACCUUCUUUGUCAAAAAAAUUUGACUCUUAGGUGAGAGAUAGAUUCUAAAGAAGAAUAGUGGAUGAAAAUAACUUGAUCCCAAAGAAAGAAGGAUAAGAUGAAGACCCUUCACGAGAGAACAAGAUAUAAAAAAAAUUGAUUAAGAAAAGAAAGUAUAAGUGGUAAGAGAUGGAAAAGAUUGAACCCUAAAAUGAGGAAUACCUGAAAAGGAAGGAAUGUCAGUUAUAGAAGAUGGAUAGACCUUAAAGAUAAAAAAAGUAGGUGGAUUUUAAAGUUCAAAGUUGAUUUGAGUAUGCAGCUUUUCAGUGCUUAAAACUUGCUCGUCUAUUGCCUGAGCAUGCUCUCCAUUGCACCAUUUCAUUCCUCAAACAUCAAAUUAAUCUAAUAGGUUGUUUUUGUAUAGUUAUGGCCUUUAAUAAUAGGGGGAUCAGGUCGUUAUCUUAUUGCUCUUACUGACCUCCCCUCGAUUUUACCCUAUAACUUUUAACUCUUCUAGAACUUAUACUAGAAGACAUGAUUAGAAAUACAUAUCAAAGUAGGUGUAGACUUAAAAGGUUGGAAAGCUAUUAAGAUUAAAAAUUUUAGGUUGGAUUAAGAGCAAAUAAAAUAAAAGGUGAAAGGCUAAAGCCCUACUAGCUCAUAUAUAUAGACGUGCUACAAACCAGAUAAAUGACAUGAUCCUUACCACAUGUCAAAGUAUGGAUGGGUAGAUGUCUUUUCAUCUUUUUUACUAUAAAUCUUUUCGUUCAAACUGUCUUCUUCAUUUAAUGUUGUCAGACUAACCUAAUUAGAUGAAUCUUAGAUUGGAUUGGCUGAACCAGAUAGCCUUGAGGGAUAAACAUAGAGCCUAAUUCACUUUCAAAGUUUAAAAUAGAGACUCAAGUCUAAAUUUUUAAAAGAAAACAUAAAUUUCACCAUGGCCAUAUGAAUUCUAGCAAUAAUAUCAAAUCACCCUCGAUAAUUAUCACUUCCGUAACUUUUAAAUAUAUUAUACACUCAUCUUGAAACACACGCAUAAGAUCGGAUAACUAUUAGGUCGGAUUGUGGCUUAAAGCUAGUCGUCAUCCAAAAAUUGACCUUUCUUUGCAAUGUUGAUCUUUGAUGAAAUAUGCAGCCAUUUACUCCAUACCGAAGAUGUCGAUAACAAAUUUGAUAAUUUGAUACUCAAACCGCUUGAUGAAGGGACAAAGUGUUAGGGGCAUAGAAUGGUUAAAAAGACAUAGUGGUAUUUUUUCCUCUCUCAAUCUUCAGCAGGCAACUAGGGGUACCUUGGUCAUUUGUGUUAUCUGACAUGUUAGGUCAGUCUGACAUCACUAGUGCCACAUCAGCUCAGUCCUAUCCUAAUUAUCUUUUUUUUGGCAUUUUUAGUUUACCUGUAAAUAUGGAGACUCAGACACCACGAAGCCAAGUUUAUCCUAUUCAUCUUUUUCUAUUCUUCUUACUUUCUCACUUCUUUUUUGACAUGACCUUUUAUGACUUGCACUUCAAAAUGUAAACGCAAAGAACAUCUGUCUUUACCUUUAAUCAUUUUUCCCUUCUGCAUUUAUAGGAACACUUUCAAGUCGAAGCUUGAUACCAACAAAAAAAUAUGAAAUGCCUUUACUAUGGCCAAAAACAGAUCUUUUUCUAUUAAUUAAAGGAUUAAAAAUAAUGAUUUAUUCACACUUUGUAUUCUUUCUUUGUGCCUUUCUCACUCACCAGACAACCUUGUUCAUCUCUAACUCUCAUUCUGUCAGUUUUUUCUUUACUUUUCCUAGUAUUGAUUUGAUUGAGGGUUGAUGAUUACUAAGAAAUCUGUAUGGCUAGGUCAUACAAAAGAAGAGAACUUCUAGCAUAAUUGUUUAGGCCUUCAUUAGAUGCUAAGGUAGUAAAAUCUAGUCUACUUGUAUCAACCCUCAUAAUAGAGGGAAAAAAACCAUGAAUUUAUAGAAAAAUUUUAACUAUCAAAUAAUAAAUAUAUAAAUUUUUUUAAAAUUAAAAUUAGAGUUAAACAAUAAUUAAAGAAAUAAUUAAAUAAAUUUACUAAAUAAAUAACUCAAAAAUAUAUAUUUGAUUUGUUUAUAGAGUCAACAAAUAUAUUUUUUAUUUGUUUUUAGAGAGUUUCAAUUUGGAUUUUUGUCAUUCAAGAUGUAAAACAUUAAGACUCCAUUUAAAUGGACCGUAAAAUUAACUCCGAUAUAAUAAUAAAAUUACUGUAAUUAUGAUUAAAAAAAUUUUAAUAAAAAAUUUAUACUAAAUAAAUCUUACUAAAAUUAAUAUUUAGAUUUAAUUGAUAGUACAAUAAAUUCAAUCACAUCAAAAUUCAAAUGGGCACUAAAUCUUGAAGGCUUUGGCAAAAUUCAAUUUUGAUCAAACUAACAACCCUCUGUUUUCCUUUUUCCCCUUUUUAUCUUUCCAUUUUUUUUUCCCCUUUUUCUCUCGAGUGGCUCACUCUUUUUAAGCCAUUCUAAAAACGGACUUGACAUCUUUAUUUAACGUGAGGCUUUCGAUUGCAAUAAAAAAAUGCUUUGGCUUUUAAGACAAUUUAAGAUUUUAACAUUUUGCUUCGUGUGGGUUUCGCAAUGUCUCUAGGUCAAAAAUUGAUCCUUCCAGGUAAGGAGGCAAGGAAAUAAUAAUAAUAAUAAAAAAAAAGACAAUGAAUGAUAUUCAUCCGGUUCAUAUCCGGGAAGAAAAGGUAUGAACUGAAAUGCCCCUGUUAUGGUCCAAAGCAGUCCUUUUUCUACUAAUUGAAGGAUUAAAAACAGUGAUUUGUUUUACAGAUUGUAUUCUCCCUUUGAGCCUCUCUAGCUCACCGAACAACUUUGUUCAUCUAUAACUCUCCCUCUGUCGGUUUUUUUUUUUUUUUUUUUGUUCUUCCUAGUGAUCUGAUUGAGAUUUGACGGUUGCUGGAAAAUCUAUACGGUCAUUUUGCACAAAGGAACGGAACCUCCAACGUAACGCCUUUUGGCCUCCAUUAGAGGGGUAAGGAAGAAAAAUCCAGUCUAACGGGCAACCCUCCAAUUUAAAAGAUUCUGUACAUCCUGCUAUAAUUGGGGUCAUUUAUUUUCCAGUUUUGUCUCAUUUCUCUUCCUCCAUUGUCAUAAGCGUCCAUUUCUCAAUCUUACGGUCAUGGAGAUUUCUUGCUUUCAUAGUUUGGUGUUGUUAGUUCACUUCUUUAUAUUGUGUAUACCCCGUCUUCACUCAUUAACCACUGAUCAAUUUGCGCUUCUGGCCUUGAAAGCCCAUAUCAAUCCCGAAACUCAAAAUAUCUUGGCAAACAAUUGGACAACAGCUACUUCUGUUUGCAAUUGGAUUGGUAUUACUUGCGGUGGCCAACCCCAGAGGGUCAUAGCCUUGAAUAUUUCUUCCAUGGGUCUAAAGGGCACCAUCCCUCCACACAUUGGAAACUUAUCUUCCCUCUCUCUGCUAUCAAUAAAAAACAACAGCUUUUAUGGUUCUUUGCCCAACGAGUUAGCUCAUUUGCGCAGCUUGAAAACUGUGGACUUUGGACUCAACUUCUUUACUGGAGAGAUUCCGCCAUGGUUCUGGUCCCUUCCUGAACUUGAGAACUUGGUUCUAAAUGAUAACAAUUUUCUGGGUGCGGUUCCAUCAUCUUUAAGCAACAUAACGUCAUUGAAGAAGAUUGGUCUGAGUUACAAUCAGCUAUCGGGUUCUAUUUCCUCCAACUUUUUUAAUGCUUCUUCCCUACGAAUAAUUGAUCUUAGCUUUAAUAGACUAUCUGGUAGACUUUCAAUAGAUAUGGUCCUUCCAGACUUGCAGGAGCUCUAUUUGUCUGGGAAUCAACUCUAUGGACAGAUCCCAAGUAGUUUAUUCAACUACAGACAGCUAAAAGUACUAUCCUUGUCUUCCAACAAUUUCAGAGGAGCCAUACCAACAGAACUUGGGAACUUAACCAUGCUCAAUAAGUUGUGUCUUAGCCAUAACAACUUGGAAGGUACGAAAAAUGUCACUCGGACCAUUUUUACUCGUAGAGAUGUUUUCAGUCUCAACCUCCCAAUGUAUGUCCAUAUAGCUUUGGUAGAAAAUGAGAGGAACCGUAUCAUGAACAUUAGAGCAAAAUGCUUACUAUAAAAUCCAGAAAGUAUGUAUCAAGGAUAAAAGCGAGAUGACACCUUCAUUGUUACAUGUCAUUUCUUUUUUUUUUCUUUUCAUUUAUUUAUCAUUAGGUAUCAGUAAUGUGAUACUUGCCAAAUAGAAUUUGGUUUAUUUCACCAUCUUAAUUUGUUAUAUAUGUCUGGUAUGCCAGUCAGGAUUUGACUUCAGUAAUUCUUAUACUAAGACUGUUCUGGAUAGAUGUUUUCAUGAGUAGGUAGAAUUCAAUUUGAAACUGUGGUUCUUGCUAAAAGCCAUUUAGGUUGGCCUUUGAAAUGUAGCAAGCUCGAGAUCUGCCAUCACAUAAACACCUUUCAUUCAAAAGCUUUAAUUUAAAUUCUCAUUAUAAAAUUGGUUGCUAGAUGAUUGAUUUUGGCUACUAUCAUAUUCAUCUUAUAUUUGGUAAAUAUGUUUGGUAAAUAUUCAUCUUACAUUUGAAGGGUAGACUGGUAAUGGCUAAAAAAAUAUAAGCCUGCGAUGGUGGUGAUUUGGAUUGGAAAAUCACUAAACUAAAAUGAUAGCAAUUGUACAUGAUCUCUAGGCCUCAUUGAAGAAGGUUUCACUUGUAGGUAUUUGAGAAUUAUAGUGCAGUUUACUGUUGAAUGAAAUGGUAAAUGCAUUAUAGAACACGUUGUCGUAAUCUUUUCUUUUCUUUUUUUUAAAAUUUUUUCAGUUAAUGGAUUCUAAGGCAAUAAACAAAGUGUUCAUGAGGUGAUUUAUCUUGAUGAUAAUGUUUUUGUAGGAACAAUUCCUUGGGAAAUAGGUUAUCUAACCAAUGUAAAGAAUCUGAGCAUUUCAUAUAACCACCUUACAGGUGCAAUUUUAUUUGCCUUUUUUUUUUUUUAUUUUCCUUGAUAUGCCAUCAUAUUUUUUUAAAUGUUUGAACUGCUUGAAUUUAUCCAGGUUGCAUACCGAGCAGUGUCGGAAACUGUACAUUGCUUGAGGAAAUAAACUUCAGUGGAAACAAGUUGACAGGUACUUUAUACUUUUGUAGUUACUGCAUUAUCAGGCUGUUUGCUUAGGUCCCAACUUCUCAAACAAACUCCAUCUUGAAAAGGUUUGAGUUUGCUGCUGGAUCUGUACUGGUGCUGGUUGACUAGAUAGAUCUUGGCAUAAAAUGGACCAUGGGGAAAGAUGCUUUGGUGAGAGGAGGAUUAGAUAAUUUGUGUGCUCUUAACUGAGCCUGAGUAUACAAUGUCCUGUCUUGGAGGUAGUGUUAUGGCUGUGAUAAUAUUGCAUUACAAAAAAAUCCCCUGCAUUACUUGGAGCCAUCGACACUAAAUUAAAAUUGCGAGGCUCAAUACCUCAUUUCUUUAGGAGAUAGAAAUAUAGGUUGGAAUCAAGUAGGAUAACUUAGUAUGUGAACCUUUUGUCAUACAGAAGGACAGAUCAUGGCAUCUUUUCCGGAGUUAGAUUCCACCAUUGCCCCUUUUAGGGAGGUUGCUUUAUGUUGUCCAUUAUCAGUUCAUAUUUUUUUAUUUUCUUCUGUAGGUAGGCUUGAUCUGGCAACAUCCUCAUUGAAUGAUUACAUUUCUUCCUCUUCAUACUUCUUAAUGCAAUAAUUGUUAAGAAAUGAGAGUAGAAACUGCAGAAUUCAAUUGUUAAAGUAAAUGUUGGUGGUUUCCGCUUUUUGUAGGUGAACUACCACCAGAGAUUGGAAAUCUUUCCAACCUAGAGGCAUUGAGAGUUAAUAAUAACAUCUUAAGGGGCAUUAUUCCAUCAACAGUCUUCAAUAUCUCAGCGUUACAAGUUGUCUUGCUCUAUGAAAACUCUCUUUCAGGAACCCUUCCAUCAAGUAUAGGCUUCUUCCUUCCAAAUCUUGUUGAGCUUCACCUUCAGGGAAAUGAACUUCAAGGAAUAAUUCCUAGCUCCAUCUCUAAUGCAUCAAAACUCACUCUCUUGGACUUGACAGAUAACUUCUUUACUGGCAGUAUUCCUAAUUCUAU
rnacentral:lncRNA from 1 species